rnacentral:rRNA from 1 species
GGUUAAGCGACUAAGCGUACACGGUGGAUGCCCUGGCAGUCAGAGGCGAUGAAGGACGUGCUAAUCUGCGAUAAGCGCCGGUAAGGUGAUAUGAACCGUUAUAACCGGCGAUUUCCGAAUGGGGAAACCCAGUGUGACUCGUCACACUAUCAUUAACUGAAUCCAUAGGUUAAUGAGGCGAACCGGGGGAACUGAAACAUCUAAGUACCCCGAGGAAAAGAAAUCAACCGAGAUUCCCCCAGUAGCGGCGAGCGAACGGGGAGGAGCCCAGAGCCUGAAUCAGCAUGUGUGUUAGUGGAAGCGUCUGGAAAGGCGCGCGAUACAGGGUGACAGCCCCGUACACAAAAGCGCAUGUGCUGUGAGCUCGAUGAGUAGGGCGGGACACGUGGUAUCCUGUCUGAAUAUGGGGGGACCAUCCUCCAAGGCUAAAUACUCCUGACUGACCGAUAGUGAACCAGUACCGUGAGGGAAAGGCGAAAAGAACCCCGGCGAGGGGAGUGAAAAAGAACCUGAAACCGUGUACGUACAAGCAGUGGGAGCACCCUUUGGGGUGUGACUGCGUACCUUUUGUAUAAUGGGUCAGCGACUUAUAUUCUGUAGCAAGGUUAACCGAAUAGGGGAGCCGGAGGGAAACCGAGUCUUAAUUGGGCGUUAAGUUGCAGGGUAUAGACCCGAAACCCGGUGAUCUAGCCAUGGGCAGGUUGAAGGUUGGGUAACACUAACUGGAGGACCGAACCGACUAAUGUUGAAAAAUUAGCGGAUGACCUGUGGCUGGGGGUGAAAGGCCAAUCAAACCGGGAGAUAGCUGGUUCUCCCCGAAAGCUAUUUAGGUAGCGCCUCGUGAAUUCAUCUCCGGGGGUAGAGCACUGUUUCGGCUAGGGGGCCAUCCCGGCUUACCAACCCGAUGCAAACUGCGAAUACCGGAGAAUGUUAUCACGGGAGACACACGGCGGGUGCUAACGUCCGUCGUGAAGAGGGAAACAACCCAGACCGCCAGCUAAGGUCCCAAAGUCAUGGUUAAGUGGGAAACGAUGUGGGAAGGCCCAGACAGCCAGGAUGUUGGCUUAGAAGCAGCCAUCAUUUAAAGAAAGCGUAAUAGCUCACUGGUCGAGUCGGCCUGCGCGGAAGAUGUAACGGGGCUAAAGCAUGCACCGAAGCUGCGGCAGCGACACUAUGUGUUGUUGGGUAGGGGAGCGUUCUGUAAGCCUGCGAAGGUGGCCUGUGAGGGUUGCUGGAGGUAUCAGAAGUGCGAAUGCUGACAUAAGUAACGAUAAAGCGGGUGAAAAGCCCGCUCGCCGGAAGACCAAGGGUUCCUGUCCAACGUUAAUCGGGGCAGGGUGAGUCGACCCCUAAGGCGAGGCCGAAAGGCGUAGUCGAUGGGAAACGGGUUAAUAUUCCCGUACUUGGUGUUACUGCGAAGGGGGGACGGAGAAGGCUAUGUUGGCCGGGCGACGGUUGUCCCGGUUUAAGCGUGUAGGUGUGUGUUCCAGGUAAAUCCGGUUCACUUUAACACUGAGGCGUGAUGACGAGGCACUACGGUGCUGAAGCAACAAAUGCCCUGCUUCCAGGAAAAGCCUCUAAGCAUCAGGUAACAUCAAAUCGUACCCCAAACCGACACAGGUGGUCAGGUAGAGAAUACCAAGGCGCUUGAGAGAACUCGGGUGAAGGAACUAGGCAAAAUGGUGCCGUAACUUCGGGAGAAGGCACGCUGACACGUAGGUGAAGUGAUUUACUCAUGGAGCUGAAGUCAGUCGAAGAUACCAGCUGGCUGCAACUGUUUAUUAAAAACACAGCACUGUGCAAACACGAAAGUGGACGUAUACGGUGUGACGCCUGCCCGGUGCCGGAAGGUUAAUUGAUGGGGUCAGCGCAAGCGAAGCUCCUGAUCGAAGCCCCGGUAAACGGCGGCCGUAACUAUAACGGUCCUAAGGUAGCGAAAUUCCUUGUCGGGUAAGUUCCGACCUGCACGAAUGGCGUAAUGAUGGCCAGGCUGUCUCCACCCGAGACUCAGUGAAAUUGAACUCGCUGUGAAGAUGCAGUGUACCCGCGGCAAGACGGAAAGACCCCGUGAACCUUUACUAUAGCUUGACACUGAACAUUGAGCCUUGAUGUGUAGGAUAGGUGGGAGGCUUUGAAGUGUGGACGCCAGUCUGCAUGGAGCCGGCCUUGAAAUACCACCCUUUAAUGUUUGAUGUUCUAACGUGGACCCGUGAUCCGGGUUGCGGACAGUGUCUGGUGGGUAGUUUGACUGGGGCGGUCUCCUCCUAAAGAGUAACGGAGGAGCACGAAGGUUGGCUAAUCCUGGUCGGACAUCAGGAGGUUAGUGCAAUGGCAUAAGCCAGCUUGACUGCGAGCGUGACGGCGCGAGCAGGUGCGAAAGCAGGUCAUAGUGAUCCGGUGGUUCUGAAUGGAAGGGCCAUCGCUCAACGGAUAAAAGGUACUCCGGGGAUAACAGGCUGAUACCGCCCAAGAGUUCAUAUCGACGGCGGUGUUUGGCACCUCGAUGUCGGCUCAUCACAUCCUGGGGCUGAAGUAGGUCCCAAGGGUAUGGCUGUUCGCCAUUUAAAGUGGUACGCGAGCUGGGUUUAGAACGUCGUGAGACAGUUCGGUCCCUAUCUGCCGUGGGCGCUGGAGAACUGAGGGGGGCUGCUCCUAGUACGAGAGGACCGGAGUGGACGCAUCACUGGUGUUCGGGUUGUCAUGCCAAUGGCACUGCCCGGUAGCUAAAUGCGGAAGAGAUAAGUGCUGAAAGCAUCUAAGCACGAAACUUGCCCCGAGAUGAGUUCUCCCUGAGACUUAGAGUCUCCUGAAGGAACGUUGAAGACGACGACGUUGAUAGGCCGGGUGUGUAAGCGCAGCGAUGCGUUGAGCUAACCGGUACUAAUGAACCGUGAGGCUUAACCUU